rnacentral:rRNA from 1 species
AGUGAACGCUGGCGGUAGGCCUAACACAUGCAAGUCGAACGGCAGCACAGUAAGAGCUUGCUCUUACGGGUGGCGAGUGGCGGACGGGUGAGGAAUACAUCGGAAUCUACUUUUUCGUGGGGGAUAACGUAGGGAAACUUACGCUAAUACCGCAUACGACCUACGGGUGAAAGCAGGGGAUCUUCGGACCUUUCGCGAUUGCAUGAGCCGAUGGCGGAUUAGCUAGGUGGAGGGGUAAAGGCCCACCAAGGCGACGAUCCGUAGCCGGUCUGAGAGGAUGGACGGGCACACUGGAACGGAGACAAGGGCCAGGCUCCUACGGGAGGCAGCAGGUGGGAAUGGGCGGCAAUGGGCGGAAGGCUUACGGAACAACGACGGGGGAGGGAUGGCGGCAGUAGGGUGGGAAAACUCUGUGAUCCGGGACGAAAAGGAAGAGGGCGAAGAACAAACUGCAUUGACGGUACCGGAAAAAGAAGCAACGGCUAACUACGUG